AAAGAAAGACGAUUAGACCCUAUUGAACUUAACUGUAGUUAAACUGGGSCAGUAAAUUAAUUAUUAUUUUAAUAAAAUAUAUCAUAUAAAUAUCUAAUAAAAUUAAAUAAUUCAGUUACCAUAGGGAUAACAGCGUAAUAGUUUUCUAAAGAUCUUAUUUAAAAUAUAGAUUACGACCUCGAUGUUGAAUUAAUAACCUAAUUAAGGCAAAACUUAAAAAAGGAAGUCUGUUCGACUUUUAAAAAAUUACAUGAUUUGAGUUCAGACCGGUGUAAGCCAGGUCGGUUUCUAUCUUCUAAAAAAUUUUUUACAGUACGAAAGGACCUAAAA
rnacentral:rRNA from 1 species